AACUUUGUAUACUGUUUGUUUGUCUUUGCUGGUUGCAUUAUAGAUAUUUGUUGUUUGUUUUGUUAAACAAGAUGGUUUCUCAGGCAGUUAACCUUUUCUCAAAAAAAACAAGAUGGUUUCUCAAUUACCUCUAUUGUUAAAUCAAUGUAAUUUUUUGCAGGUGGUAGAGAUGGGGUUUACGCUAGUAGUAUUGGCUCAUAUUUGGGACAAUUCGAUGCCGGAUGAAAAGACCAAUAUGUUAUGCCAAGAGUGGAGGUCUUGCUGUUCAACCAUUGCGUGCAUGUUUUCAGCUCUGCUGCAGGAAGCUUGGUUGCUUGCUGUACAGGAACAUGCCCAGUUUAGUAUUUCACCCCCAUCAUGAUGCAUGGAGGGCAUGACCAUCUUUGAUGCCAUAAAAGAAGUUGUUCAUUUGCAUAGAGGGUGUGGAGUAAAGGGAGUUGCCAGCCCCAUUUGCACGUCCUAUUUCUAAGCGUUCAAUAAUCGAAGGCAUCGAUGCAUUUAUCAGCGAGGCUAUGGAAGGAUACCAUGCUGUAACAUGGAGAGCUUGCUUCUGUGCACAUGUUUUGCUCCAUUUGCCAAGGUUCUCAUUUGAAACUAAAGGUACUAAGCAGGCAGUAGCAAUUGUUUUUUGUAAAGCUUCAUUUUCACGUUCUCUUGACAUUCGAAGCAAGCCAGUGGCUUUGAGGAAACCCUUUUUGCUGGUUAUUGCAGCUCGUUAUAUAUGUUGCCCUGGUUAUAUAAAAACGGUUUUGGAGAAGGAUGAGGAUGAAGGUCUCACUGUGUGGGUGUAUGGAGUCAGGAGUAGUGUAUAUUUUUGCUCAUUUGUUCCAGCCCGGUCUUUCAUUUGGCUCCGAGAUAAAGUUGGCUACAAUCACAUUGACAAAGUUGGUGAAACGUUUUGUGGGAUUGGCAUCUAGCUGGACUCUAAAAGCUGCACAAGUGCGUGAAUUUUCAUUCUAGAGCAAUCUUUUCAGGAGAGAUGCAUCUAUGUAGUGGAAGACCCUAAACAGCCUCACUAUUCUUCAAGCUACUAUCAAACCAUUCCAAGUCAAUUAUGUCACUUUUUCUGUUCUGUGAUAUGACUUAAUAUUUCUAACGGGCAAUUUCAAUAUUGAUUGUGACAUUGACCAGAUUGAUUUUAAGUUAAUUAAACCCUGGUAAUGCACAUUCAAUUAUAUUGUUUUAUAGCAUGUUAAUCAUAUUUUUCUCUCGAACUCUAACUUACGUGGGGAACAAAAUGUCUUCUGAAUUAGGGAACAGGAGGAAGGGACUGUGGUCAAGAAUAAAGAGGAGGGUAGGUAGUGAUAGUGGAGUUGACCGCAUGGUUGCUUGAUAAAUUUCAAGCCUAGUCAUGGAGCGAGGUAUUGCUUGCUUGGAUCACCAUGAUUUGACAUUCAUUUGGUGAGGUCUAAAAUGCAUGGACGGGCGGUCUGUGGGAAUAGAGAGAUGCUUUUUUCUUUUUGGUGGAGGAGAAGGAAUGGACAGUGACGCUGCAGGGGUAGCGAACCAAAAGGCUAGGUUGUGGAUGGUAAGGUUGGGGAAUGCUGCAGGUUGGGUGGGAGGAAAGGUUAGGUUGUGGUUGGGGAGCUUUUGAAACGCUUGCAAUGGCCUUAUUAAUCAUUUGAUAAAAAAUGAAUGACAAAAACCAAUGCAAUUAUUAAUUUGUAUGUUAUUUAUCAAAAUCCUCAUAUGCAUAUUUUGAUAGAACCAAAUGAGUUGGUCAAUCAUGAUAUCUAGCUGCUGUCAACAAACAUAUAUGUUGGUAACAAAUAUUCACCAAUAUGUAUCAAUGUAUACUUGGAGAUUUGGCAGCUUUGGCAAAACUUAAGGCUAUUUGGUUCUCUUUUCCAACCUGAGCUUGUUUUUCAAUAAUGCUUUUUGUCUUUUGUGAUUCUAGUUUUAUCUUUGGCCUCUAGGAUGGUGUUAUAACUGACUUAUAAGAAAAUAUACAUUGUUUACAAUCUUGUUUGCUCCAUUGUUUUGUGUAAGCAAUUAACCGUAGUGGAGCUAGACUUGGACAUUGUUUACAAUCUUGUUUGCUCUACAAUUUUUUUUUUUUUAAAGUAUAACACUUCUGGUUGUUUUGUUGAUUUAUCAUAUCAGAAUUUGAUGUGGUUUUUAGAUUUGUUUUUGAAUCCUUCUAUUGAUUUGGUAAUUUAACAUCGGGUUUUGGAGGGGGUGUUUAAAAUUGUUUUUGUAGGCUCUUAGUAGAAUUCCAACAGUUCCAUGGCAGCUUCUAUCCAAAUUAUAUAUGAAAGAAUAAUAAGGAAAACAUGGCUACCCACACUGUAACAAGUGUCCGCUUUAGAUAUGUUCCUAAAAUGUUGGACAGUCUACGUUUGUUUUUUUAAAAAAGUAUUCCAAUGUUGGACAGUCUAUGUUUGUUUUUUAACAUCGGGUUUUGGAGGGGGUGUUUAAAAUUGUUUUUGUACGGUCUUAGUAGAUUUCCAACAGUUCCAUGACAGCUUCCAUUCCAAAUUAUAUAGAAUAAUAAGAAAAACAUGGCUACCCACACUGUAACAAGUGUCCGCUUCAGAUCUGUUCCUAAAAUGUUGGACAGUCUAUGUUUGUUUUUUUUUAAAGUAUUCCAAAUGUAUAUAAAUAUAAAAACAAUACUUUGAAAGCAUGGGAUUUGAAAUAAUGGGGGCAAAAAUGUGAAAAGAAAAGAUUGAAACCUGGGAUAUUUGAUAUAAGAUAAAAGAUAAAUGAAACUAGGACUUAGGAUAUCGCAUUGCUACC